rnacentral:rRNA from 1 species
AGUGAACGCUGGCGGUAGGCCUAACACAUGCAAGUCGAACGGCAGCACAGUAAGAGCUUGCUCUUACGGGUGGCGAGUGGCGGACGGGUGAGGAAUACAUCGGCAUCUACUUUUUCAUGGGGGAUAACGUAGGGAAACUUACGCUAAUACCGCAUACGACCUACGGGUGAAAGCAGUGGAUCUUCGGACCUUGCGCGAUUGAAUGAGCCGAUGUCGGAUUAGCUAGUUGGCGGGGUAAAGGCCCACCAAGGCGACGAUCCGUAGCUGGUCUGAGAGGAUGAUCAGCCACACUGGAACUGAGACACGGUCCAGACUCCUACGGGAGGCAGCAGUGGGGAAUAUUGGACAAUGGGCGCAAGCCUGAUCCAGCCAUACCGCGUGGGUGAAGAAGGCCUUCGGGUUGUAAAGCCCUUUUGUUGGGAAAGAAAAGCAGCAGGUUAAUACCCCGCUGUUCUGACGGUACCCAAAGAAUAAGCACCGGCUAACUUCGUG